AGGGUUUGAUCAUGGCUCAGAGCGAACGCUGGCGGCAGGCCUAACACAUGCAAGUCGAACGCACCUUCGGGUGAGUGGCGGACGGGUGAGUAACACGUGGGAACGUACCUUUUGGUUCGGAAUAACGCAGGGAAACUUGUGCUAAUACCGAAUGUGCCCUUCGGGGGAAAGAUUUAUCGCCAUUAGAGCGGCCCGCGUUAGAUUAGCUAGUUGGUGAGGUAAAGGCUCACCAAGGCUACGAUCUAUAGCUGGUCUGAGAGGAUGAUCAGCCACAUUGGGACUGAGACACGGCCCAAACUCCUACGGGAGGCAGCAGUGGGGAAUCUUGCGCAAUGGGCGAAAGCCUGACGCAGCCAUGCCGCGUGAAUGAUGAAGGUCUUAGGAUUGUAAAAUUCUUUCAGUAGGGACGAUAAUGACGGUACCUACAGAAGAAGCCCCGGCUAACUUCGUGCCAGCAGCCGCGGUAAUACGAAGGGGGCUAGCGUUGCUCGGAAUUACUGGGCGUAAAGGGAGCGUAGGCGGGUUAUCAAGUUGGAGGUGAAAGCCCAGGGCUCAACCUUGGAAUUGCCUUCAAAACUGAUAGCCUAGAGUAUGAUAGAGGUAAGUGGAACUCCGAGUGUAGAGGUGAAAUUCGUAGAUAUUCGGAAGAACACCAGUGGCGAAGGCGACUUACUGGAUCAUGACUGACGCUGAGGCUCGAAAGCGUGGGGAGCAAACAGGAUUAGAUACCCUGGUAGUCCACGCUGUAAAC
rnacentral:rRNA from 1 species